UAUUUCGAAGUGGAGAGACUCCUCCCCUGACACUGACAUGAAACAGCACUCGUUUCUGUCAGCAGAUCUUUGCACGACUCACACAAAGACGUGUCAGCAUCACUUCAACAAGGUCAUACAUUUGAAUCCAUUCUGAAUCCACUGGAGGAUCCGUCUGAAGUCUUUCUGCUUGUAGUUCAGUGAUUGUCUGAAACCGAAACACGAUGAGGAC